AUUGAACGCUGGCGGCAUGCCUUACACAUGCAAGUCGAUCGGCAGCACGGGAGCAAUCCUGGUGGCGAGUGGCGAACGGGUGAGUAAAGCAUCGGAACGUGCCCAGUCGUGGGGGAUAACGUAGCGAAAGCUACGCUAAUACCGCAUACGAUCUGUGGAUGAAAGCGGGGGACCGUAAGGCCUCGCGCGAUUGGAGCGGCCGAUGUCAGAUUAGGUAGUUGGUGAGGUAAAGGCUCACCAAGCCGACGAUCUGUAGCUGGUCUGAGAGGACGACCAGCCACACUGGGACUGAGACACGGCCAGACUCCUACGGGAGGCAGCAGUGGGGAAUUUUGGACAAUGGGCGCAAGCCUGAUCCAGCAAUGCCGCGUGCAGGAUGAAGGCCUUCGGGUUGUAAACUGCUUUUGUACGGAGCGAAACGGCUUCCACUAAUACUGGGGGCUAAUGACGGUACCGUAAGAAUAAGCACUGGCUAACUACGUGCCAGCCGCCGCCGUAA
rnacentral:rRNA from 1 species